rnacentral:rRNA from 1 species
UACGAAGGGGGCAAGCGUUGUUCGGAAUUACUGGGCGUAAAGGGUGCGUAGGUGGCGGGGUUAGUCAGGUGUGAAAUCUCGAGGCUCAACCUUGAAGCUGCACUUGAUACUGCCUUGCUUGAGUACUGGAGAGGAGAUUGGAAUUUACGGUGUAGCAGUGAAAUGCGUAGAUAUCGUAAGGAAGACCAGUGGCGAAGGCGAAUCUCUGGACAGUUACUGACACUGAGGCACGAAGGCCAGGGGAGCAAACGGG